rnacentral:rRNA from 1 species
CCUACGGGGAGCAGCAGUGAGGAAUAUUGGUCAAUGGACGAGAGUCUGAACCAGCCAAGUAGCGUGAAGGAUGACUGCCCUAUGGGUUGUAAACUUCUUUUAUAUGGGAAUAAAAUGUUCCACGUGUGGGAUUUUGUAUGUACCAUAUGAAUACGGAUCGGCUAACUCCGUGCCAGCAGCCGCGGUAAUACGGAGGAUCCGAGCGUUAUCCGGAUUUAUUGGGUUUAAAGGGAGCGUAGGUGGAUUGUUAAGUCAGUUGUGAAAGUUUGCGGCUCAACCGUAAAAUUGCAGUUGAAACUGGCAGUCUUGAGUACAGUAGAGGUGAGCGGAAUUCGUGGUGUAGCGGUGAAAUGCUUAGAUAUCACGAAGAACUCCGAUUGCGAAGGCAGUUCACUGGACUGCAACUGACACUGAGGCUCGAAAGUGUGGGUAUCAAACAGGAUUAGAUACCCUAGUAGUC